GUCUCUCAGCCUCCCAUCUGAAGCUGAGGUAGCCACCACAGCUGGUCUCUCAGCCUCCCAUCUGAAGCUGAGGUAGCCACCACAGCUGGUCUCUCAGCCUCCCAUCUGAAGCUGAGGUAGCCACCACAGCUGGUCUCUCAGCCUGCCUUCUGAAGCUGAGGUAGCCACCACAGCUGGUCUCUCAGCCUCCCAUCUGAAGCUGAGGUAGCCACCACAGCUGGUCUCUGAGCCUCCCAUCUGAAGCUGAGGUAGCCACCACAGCU